rnacentral:rRNA from 1 species
UGGGGAAUAUUGGACAAUGGGCGCAAGCCUGAUCCAGCCAUGCCGCGUGAGUGAUGAAGGCCCUAGGGUUGUAAAGCUCUUUCACCGGUGAAGAUAAUGACGGUAACCGGAGAAGAAGCCCCGGCUAACUUCGUGCCAGCAGCCGCGGUAAUACGAAGGGGGCUAGCGUUGUUCGGAUUUACUGGGCGUAAAGCGCACGUAGGCGGACUUUUAAGUCAGGGGUGAAAUCCAGGGGCUCAACCCCGGAACUGCCUUUGAUACUGGAAGUCUUGAGUAUGGUAGAGGUGAGUGGAAUUCCGAGUGUAGAGGUGAAAUUCGUAGAUAUUCGGAGGAACACCAGUGGCGAAGGCGGCUCACUGGACCAUUACUGACGCUGAGGUGCGAAAGCGUGGGGAGCAAACAGG